rnacentral:rRNA from 1 species
CCGUGGGUAACCUGCCUCAUACAGGGGGAUAACAGUUGGAAACGACUGCUAAUACCGCAUAAGCGCACAGGGUCGCAUGACCUGGUGUGAAAAACUCCGGUGGUAUGAGAUGGACCCGCGUCUGAUUAGCCAGUUGGUGGGGUAACGGCCCACCAAAGCGACGAUCAGUAGCCGACCUGAGAGGGUGACCGGCCACAUUGGGACUGAGACACGGCCCAAACUCCUACGGGAGGCAGCAGUGGGGAAUAUUGCACAAUGGGGGAAACCCUGAUGCAGCGACGCCGCGUGAGCGAAGAAGUAUUUCGGUAUGUAAAGCUCUAUCAGCAGGGAAGAAGAAAUGACGGUACCUGACUAAGAAGCACCGGCUAAAUACGUGCCAGCAGCCGCGGUAAUACGUAUGGUGCAAGCGUUAUCCGGAUUUACUGGGUGUAAAGGGAGCGCAGGCGGUACGGCAAGUCUGAUGUGAAAGCCCGGGGCUCAACCCCGGUACUGCAUUGGAAACUGUCGGACUAGAGUGUCGGAGGGGUAAGUGGAAUUCCUAGUGUAGCGGUGAAAUGCGUAGAUAUUAGGAGGAACACCAGUGGCGAAGGCGGCUUACUGGACGAUUACUGACGCUGAGGCUCGAAAGCGUGGGGAGCAAACAGGACUAGAUACCCUGGUAGUCCACGCCGUAAACGAUGAAUAU